CCUGCGAAACUCGAAUGAACGAACGGAGAGAUUCAUCGUCAUUCCUCGGCGCACGGGCGUUCGAUGGUCCCGGCUUCGGUUGGCGGUCACGUGUCGCGUACGAGCGUCCGGGGACGGCGUGCACUUCUCUCUUAGUAAUACAUCGCGACCCGUUCGGUGUCGGUCUAAGUGCCCCGGGAGUCUGUGUGUAGACCGCACCGACCGGCCGCCGGACGGUACAUACGAAACGCGCACGCGCGCGCGUCCGGCCCGACGCAAGGCACGUCGUAUCUCCCCCAUCCUGCCCGAGUGCGGAUGGGGGUGCGGCGCGCCUGUCGUCGCUGCCGUGCUGUCUCGGACCGUGCGCGUGUCCGUCUGCGAUGAUUCAGUUUCGGGCACUCGCAGGACCCGUCUUGA
rnacentral:rRNA from 1 species